rnacentral:rRNA from 1 species
UAGGGAAUCUUCCACAAUGGACGAAAGUCUGAUGGAGCAACGCCGCGUGAGUGAAGAAGGGUUUCGGCUCGUAAAGCUCUGUUGGUAGUGAAGAAAGAUAGAGGCAGUAACUGGCCUUUAUUGACGGUAAUUACUUAGAAAGUCACGGCUAACUACGUGCC